AAAGAAAAUUCUAUGUGUAAAAUUUUACAUAUAAAUAAAUUUUUUAUGGUUUAAAAAAAUUUAUUUUAAGUUUAUUUUACAUAUAAAUUUUAGUGUUAAUUAUUAAUUAUUUAAAUAAUGUUUAAUAUUUAGGUAGUAAUUAGUAUUAAAAAUUUAAGAAAUUAAGAUUUAGUAAUAUGAAUUAAUUAAUAACUAAUUUUGUGCCAGCAGUUGCGGUUAAACAAAAGUUAAUUUUAAAUUUUUUUAGUGAUUAAUAAAUACAAAUAAAAAAAAAUAAUUUAAAUUUAAAAUUAUAAGGUGAAAUUUAAAUUUUAUAAAAAAUUAUAAAAUUAUUAUGAUUUAAUAAAUUUUAUAAAAAACUAGGAUUAGAUACCCUAUUAUUAAAAAUUUAAAUUAAUAAUACUUAAAAAGUAGGUAAUUAAAUAUUGAAACUUAAAUAAUUUGGCGGUAUUUUAGUUUAUUUAGAGGAAUCUGUUUAAUAAUUGAUAAUCCACGAUUAAAUUUACUUAAUUUAUUAUUUUGUAUAUCGUUGUUAAAAAAAUAUUUUUUAAUAAAAAUAAUAUUUAAAGUUUUAAAAUAAAAGUUAAAUCAGAUCAAGAUGCAGAUUAUAAUUAAGAAUAUAAUGGAUUACAAUAAAUUUAUUUAAUUUGGAAUUUAAAAUGGAAAUAUUUAAAUGAAAAUGGAUUUAAAUGUAAUUUUAUUUAAAUAAAUAAAAUGAUUAAAUAUUAAAAUAUGUACAUAUUGCCCGUCGCUUUCAUUUAUAAAUUGAAAUAAGUCGUAACAAAGUAGAAGUACUGGAAAGUGUUUCUAGAAAGAC
rnacentral:ncRNA from 1 species